rnacentral:lncRNA from 1 species
CAUUCAAUACGCCAUGAAUCUAAUCGAUUGAAACUCCCAUGAUUGCUAUAUCAGUAAACGAAAUUCACCACCAAAUGCUAGGAAUCAUACCGUCGCUCAUAAAUGUACAGGAAAAUUCAGUGGCAUGUUCUUGAUCUUCUUCUUUCAGUGGCAUGUUCUUGAUCUUGUUCUUUGACUUGGGCGGUGCAGUGGUCUCCUCCGUAGACGACACAUGAUCAAACAAACAUACAAACUAACUGCAUCAUAAUUCUUCUUCUUCAUCAUCCCAAUCAGUCAGAUGCGGAUCAGGAAGGACAACAAGGGCCUGUACUUUUUUUUUGUACUCUCUUACUUUUUUGCUUUAUUAUGUCAAGAUUUUUGUAUUUUUAUGGUAAUAAUUUGCUGGUUUUUUGGGCUAGCACAACAAAAGCAUCUGGUAAGAAUCAAGUUUAACCAGUUGAUACCCCUAAUCGAUUGUUGGUUUAUAAUUUCCUCAUGACCUUUGCGUCGUUUUUUUUCUACUUCACGAAAUCAGGAUCAAGAACUGCAUCACAUAACUGGUUAAGCUGUCAGGAUCUGUAAGUAGUCAAUACCUUGCUGCUUUGCUUAUGGCUUCCCCCCUCACCCUCGGAGACGUACAGAUCGAAAUUAUCGAUAAAUUAAUAUCUAUACCACGCAUUACAGUUUACAGGAUCUGUUACCAUGACUCUUGCUGUCGUUGCUCUCUAUGCGGAUGGCCCUACAACCAUUGGAGAUGACAACCGUUAUUUGGCGCAGAGAGCAUGACAUACUCCAGUUAAACUGCGACCUUUGUUUGGCACAAGUAACAUGACAUACUCCAGCUCAACUGUUCAUUAAUCUGUAGAUUGACUCAUUUUCAAUGUCAAAUGCUGCACUUCCAAGGAGCAUUAAGGAUCAUGAGCGAAUUAUAUGGCUGGGUGACCUUAAUUACCGCUUUAAUUUGUCGUACGAGGAAACAUGCGAUUUGAUUUCCAAAAAUGCAUUGCUAGAGAGUGAUCAACUAAGACUAGGAGGUGUGUUUGACGGGUGGACAGAAGGCGCAUUUUCCACUGACUUACAAAUACGGGCCGAAUUCAGAUAAAUAUUAUGGCGAGGAUCCUAGAGGUGAAAGGCGUACGCCCACAUGGGGUUGAUGUUGGGCACCAGUUCUUUUCACCAUGUGACAUGGUUACUGUAGGUUUUCAUAACCAUUGUCUCAGUGGAAUUGAUUACAUUGGGGCAAGUUUUCAACAGGUGUGGUUUCCAGCAACUGAACCGUUGGAUGUCAUGUCGGCAAACAGGGGUGGUUUGCGCGGUGGAAAGAGAUAGUUAGAUACCCGGAAAGGGUUGGUGAAGUUGGGAGUGUAAUCGGGUGAGGUCGGAGACGGGUGAGACUUCGGGUCAACUGUGGUUAACGCAAGUAAACAGAGUCAGAUUUGGUGCUUAUAUAUAUACACACAACUUACAUAUGAUUCUUUUUAUUGCUUUAAGAUUUCAACCAUGUAACCACCUCGUAUUGUCGACUCCGCCGAACGCCCGGGUUCCCAUUAUUUCAAAUACUUUAGCUGUUUUAUGAAUUUG